AUCCUGCCAAGGUCAACUUCUCCUUCCAUCUUUGCAAGGUUGAUAAAAUACAAUACCAGUGAUGUACUGGGGUUCAUAUGAUUACCUGUAGCCCUUCUUUCCUUCCUAAAUUUCAUGUUUAUAUAAGCUGUCAGAAUUCUUAGAAGUAUUUUUCCUGUCUUUACAUUUCUGGGUUUACUCAGGUGUGUAUAUAUCAUUGUUCUACUGUGUAGAGUGUGUAUUGAAUAAAUAUAUAUGUGUGUGUGAGUAUGUGUGUAAUAAUUGCUGUAAUUAAGUUAUUGUGACCUAAUUACAUUUGUUUUCUUUAAUGACCUAAUAACUAUUAUCUCAAGCUGUGUGAUGUUUGCUUUUUUUUCAUGUUUUUCUUUCCUCAUCCAGUCCUUUCAGUUGCAAGUAUGAAGUGGUGUCUGUGAUGCUGUCCAAGGGUUCACUUCAGUUGGACAUUAAGAACAAAAUGGAAAGGACACCAUUGCUUGAAGCCGUUUCCCAGGGUCACCUCGGAAUGACACACCUGUUAAUAGCCCUGGGUGCAAAUGUAAAUGCUGUUGAUGGUGAAGGUAACAGUUGUUUGCACCUAGCCAUG